GGGGAGUUGGCUCAGUGGUAGAGUGCUUGCCUUGCAUGCAUGAGGCCCUGGGUUCAAUUCUCCA
rnacentral:tRNA from 1 species